AAAUCAAAUAUGCCUAAUCGGAGUGAAGUUCAAGAGUUCCCUCUUGAGUUGCGCUCUGAGCCGGGGAACCACAGUUUUCUGGGGUGAAUCCACUGGAGAGCUUCGUUGUAUGGCGAAGUGGUCAGUGGUAGGGAGCCUUCCGUUUCCGAAUCCGACAGCUAACCCGGCCGGCUAAAAGGAAGAUUUG
rnacentral:sRNA from 2 species